rnacentral:rRNA from 1 species
AGAGUUUGAUCAUGGCUCAGGAUGAACGCUGGCGGUAUGCCUAACACAUGCAAGUCGUACGAGAGUUUUUAACUCAAGUGGCGGACGGGUGAGUAACACGUGAGAAUUUGCCUUUAGGAGGGGGAUAACAGAGUGAAAACGCUGCUAAUACCCCAUAUGCUUUCGAGUGAAAUGGAUUUAUUCGCCUAAAGAGAAGCUCGCGGCUGAUUAGCUUGUUGGUAAGGUAAUGGCUUACCAAGGCGACGAUCAGUAUCUGGUUUGAGAGGACGAUCAGACACACUGGAACUGAGACACGGUCCAGACUCCUACGGGAGGCAGCAGUGGGGAAUUUUCCGCAAUGGGCGAAAGCCUGACGGAGCAAUACCGCGUGAGGGAAGACUGCCUAUGGGUUGUAAACCUCUUUUCUCAGGGAGGAAAUCAAUGACGUUACCUGAGGAAUAAGCAUCGGCUAACUCCGUGCCAGCAGCCGCGGUAAGACGGAGGAUGCAAGUGUUAUCCGGAACCACUGGGCGUAAAGCGUCUGUAGGUGGCUUAACAAGUCAACUGUUAAAUCUUGAAGCUCAACUUCGAAAUCGCAGUCGAAACUGUUAGGCUAGAGUAUAGUAGGGGUAAAGGGAAUUUCCAGUGGAGCGGUGAAAUGCGUAGAGAUUGGAAAGAACACCGAUGGCGAAGGCACUUUACUGGGCUAUUACUGACACUCAGAGACGAAAGCUAGGGUAGCAAAUGGGAUUAGAUACCCCAGUAGUCCUAGCCGUAAACAAUGGAUACUAGAUGUUGGGCAGAUCGACCUGUUCAGUAUCAAAGCUAACGCGUUAAGUAUCCCGCCUGGGAAGUAUGCGCGCAAGCGUGAAACUCAAAGGAAAUUGACGGGGGCCCGCACAAGCGGUGGAGCAUGUGGUUUAAUUCGAUGCAACGCGAAGAACCUUACCAGGGUUUGACAUGAUACGAAUUUUUUUUGAAAGAAAAAGUGCCGUUUGGAACGUAUACACAGGUGGUGCAUGGCUGUCGUCAGCU